CUUCCCUUUUGCAGCAGAACAGACCUCUUUGGAGUCUGGCUCCAUCACAUUCUCGCUCACAUUGCCGGGUUUCAAAAUCGUGACAUAGCAAGGGAAACACGGUAUAUGCAGAACCAUCAACUUAGUGGUCAAGCUCAGAUAUAAAUCCAGAACUACCUCAUCAGCAUCCAAUACUGGAUCCAGCUCAGAGAAGAGAGAAAAAGAAGCGCAAUCUUGUCACCUCCAUCAUGUACGCAGUAUUUGUUAUAGUGAAUUGAGUUCCAGAAAGAAUUCCAUUUAGGAAAAAUAAUGUGAGCCUCCACAAGUCACUAACUAAAUUCUAGGAGCUGUCUUCCAAAAAGGCCUCUUCUUCCAAGCUUUAUGAGACUACAUCUCAC
rnacentral:lncRNA from 11 species